rnacentral:tRNA from 7 species
GCCCUAGUAGCUUAGCCAUUAAAGCGCCGGUCUUGUAAUCCGGAGAUCGAAGGUUAAAAUCCUUCCUAGUGCC